AUUGAACGCUGGCGGCAGGCCUAACACAUGCAAGUCGAGCGGAUGAAGGGAGCUUGCUCCUGGAUUCAGCGGCGGACGGGUGAGUAAUGCCUAGGAAUCUGCCUGGUAGUGGGGGAUAACGUCCGGAAACGGGCGCUAAUACCGCAUACGUCCUGAGGGAGAAAGUGGGGGAUCUUCGGACCUCACGCUAUCAGAUGAGCCUAGGUCGGAUUAGCUAGUUGGUGGGGUAAAGGCCUACCAAGGCGACGAUCCGUAACUGGUCUGAGAGGAUGAUCAGUCACACUGGAACUGAGACACGGUCCAGACUCCUACGGGAGGCAGCAGUGGGGAAUAUUGGGCAAUGGGCGAAAGCCUGAUCCAGCCAUGCCGCGUGUGUGAAGAAGGUCUUCGGAUUGUAAAGCACUUUAAGUAGGGAGGAAGGGCAGUAAGUUAAUACCUUGCUGUUUUGACGUUACCAACAGAAUAAGCACCGGCUAACUUCGUG
rnacentral:rRNA from 1 species